rnacentral:rRNA from 1 species
AUUGAACGCUGGCGGAAUGCUUUACACAUGCAAGUCGAGCGGCAGCGCGGGGUAACCUGGCGGCGAGCGGCGAACGGGUGAGUAAUACAUCGGAACGUGCCCAGACGUGGGGGAUAGCCCGGCGAAAGCCGGAUUAAUACCGCAUGAGAUCUGAGGAUGAAAGCAGGGGACCUUCGGGCCUUGCGCGUUUGGAGCGGCCGAUGGCAGAUUAGGUAGUUGGUGAGGUAAAGGCUUACCAAGCCUGCGAUCUGUAGCUGGUCUGAGAGGAUGAUCAGCCACACUGGGACUGAGACACGGCCCAGACUCCUACGGGAGGCAGCAGUGGGGAAUUUUGGACAAUGGGCGCAAGCCUGAUCCAGCCAUUCCGCGUGCAGGAUGAAGGCCCUCGGGUUGUAAACUGCUUUUGUACAGAACGAAAAAGGCCCGGC